UAAACACUGGACAGGUGGGCUUGGAGAAUCUGCUUGCUGUCCUCUCUGCACUGCUGGUGUGGUACUUCUCUCUUUCUCUGGCUCUCAUGAGAUGUGAACAGAAAGAAGAUCAAUGACUAAGAGCUGCAGCUGUGUAUGCGAUACCUUCCAGAUGACUCAUCCUUUUUUUGACUGAAAAAUGAAGUUCUGGCAGCAAAUUGUCACUUGAUGAUGUCUAACCUGCCGCUGACAUCUGCUGUAGACAGGACAAGCCUCAAACUCUUUAAAAGAGAUUGCAGUUACGAUACAUGAAAUGGGUCAGUGGGGUAACACCAUCACUGAAGAGGAUUUCUUUUCACUUACCUUUUUGCUUUUGCUGCAAAAAGUCUGUGAUGAAGUGAAACUUGCAGGAAUUUGAGAUUCUCACCAAUAAUGUUUCAAAUGAGGUAAGAAGCGUUAACAUUGGUGCAGCAAGUACCUGCUUGCUUCGAAAAGGCAUUGUUUGUUAUGAUGUAGCUAUGUAUGGAUUUCACUCCUAGACUUGCACGUGGUCACCUUUACAAAAUAUCUGUCAAGACCCAGGAUAAUGCACUGCAUACUGUCUGCCUUGACUAGAGAGGCAAGAGCCUAGGAGACUAUCUUCAGAAUUUGCAUAAAGUGAGACGGCAUUCAUCCGUUGUAAUGAAGGCUGUAAUAAAUGAUCCUCCAAUCAGAGUUGUCCAACGUCUAUAUUCCAGAGUAGUCAACACAUGAAUCUGUGUUACCUUAGUAGAAUGAAAGAUUUAUGUACUCCCUUAAUUAUUUUUGAUAUCUCAUGAAAACGGGCAAUGAUGUAAUUCCCCAU